rnacentral:rRNA from 1 species
CAAAAAUGACUCCCGAYAACGGAUAUCUYGGCUCUUGCAUCGAUGAAGAAYGUAGCGAAAUGCGAUACUUGGUGUGAAUUGCAGAAUCCCGUGAACCAUCGAGUCUUUGAACGCAAGUUGCGCCCAAAGCCGUUAGGUCGAGGGCACGUCUGCUUGGGUGUCACAC